UGGCUCAGGACGAACGCUGGCGGCGUGCCUAAUACAUGCAAGUCGAACGAACUCUGGUAUUGAUUGGUGCUUGCAUCAUGAUUUACAUUUGAGUGAGUGGCGAACUGGUGAGUAACACGUGGGAAACCUGCCCAGAAGCGGGGGAUAACACCUGGAAACAGAUGCUAAUACCGCAUAACAACUUGGACCGCAUGGUCCGAGUUUGAAAGAUGGCUUCGGCUAUCACUUUUGGAUGGUCCCGCGGCGUAUUAGCUAGAUGGUGAGGUAACGGCUCACCAUGGCAAUGAUACGUAGCCGACCUGAGAGGGUAAUCGGCCACAUUGGGACUGAGACACGGCCCAAACUCCUACGGGAGGCAGCAGUAGGGAAUCUUCCACAAUGGACGAAAGUCUGAUGGAGCAACGCCGCGUGAGUGAAGAAGGGUUUCGGCUCGUAAAACUCUGUUGUUAAAGAAGAACAUAUCUGAGAGUAACUGUUCAGGUAUUGACGGUAUUUAACCAGAAAGCCACGGCUAACUACGUGCCAGCAGCCGCGGUAAUACGUAGGUGGCAAGCGUUGUCCGGAUUUAUUGGGCGUAAAGCGAGCGCAGGCGGUUUUUUAAGUCUGAUGUGAAAGCCUUCGGCUCAACCGAAGAAGUGCAUCGGAAACUGGGAAACUUGAGUGCAGAAGAGGACAGUGGAACUCCAUGUGUAGCGGUGAAAUGCGUAGAUAUAUGGAAGAACACCAGUGGCGAAGGCGGCUGUCUGGUCUGUAACUGACGCUGAGGCUCGAAAGUAUGGGUAGCAAACAGGAUUAGAUACCCUGGUAGUCCAUACCGUAAACGAUGAAUGCUAAGUGUUGGAGGGUUUCCGCCCUUCAGUGCUGCAGCUAACGCAUUAAGCAUUCCGCCUGGGGAGUACGGCCGCAAGGCUGAAACUCAAAGGAAUUGACGGGGGCCCGCACAAGCGGUGGAGCAUGUGGUUUAAUUCGAAGCUACGCGAAGAACCUUACCAGGUCUUGACAUACUAUGCAAAUCUAAGAGAUUAGACGUUCCCUUCGGGGACAUGGAUACAGGUGGUGCAUGGUUGUCGUCAGCUCGUGUCGUGAGAUGUUGGGUUAAGUCCCGCAACGAGCGCAACCCUUAUUAUCAGUUGCCAGCAUUAAGUUGGGCACUCUGGUGAGACUGCCGGUGACAAACCGGAGGAAGGUGGGGAUGACGUCAAAUCAUCAUGCCCCUUAUGACCUGGGCUACACACGUGCUACAAUGGAUGGUACAACGAGUUGCGAACUCGCGAGAGUAAGCUAAUCUCUUAAAGCCAUUCUCAGUUCGGAUUGUAGGCUGCAACUCGCCUACAUGAAGUCGGAAUCGCUAGUAAUCGCGGAUCAGCAUGCCGCGGUGAAUACGUUCCCGGGCCUUGUACACACCGCCCGUCACACCAUGAGAGUUUGUAACACCCAAAGUCGGUGGGGUAACC
rnacentral:rRNA from 2 species